UACGUAGGGUGCGAGCGUUAAUCGGAAUUACUGGGCGUAAAGCGUGCGCAGGCGGUUUUGUAAGCCAGAUGUGAAAAGCCCCGGGCUCAACCUGGGAAUGGCAUUUGGGACUGCAAGGCUGGAGUACGGCAGAGGGAGGUGGAAUUCCACGUGUAGCAGUGAAAUGCGUAGAGAUGUGGAGGAACACCGAUGGCGAAGGCAGCCUCCUGGGCUAGUACUGACGCUCAUGCACGAAAGCGU
rnacentral:rRNA from 1 species